UCACAUUGAGGAUCUCCUUCUUGGACACUGUUAUUAGAAACUCCUAGGACUGCAUUCGGGCAGCAGGUCAAUAGAAAAUGGCCCUUGAGAUUUGAAGUGAGUCCAUUUGAAGUGAGUAUCUGAGAGGCUUCACAUCACCAGUUUCCAAGGAAGGGAGUUUAUAUAGUUUCUGAAAAAGGAUUGAUUUGUUCUUGGCCUACAAACUGAUGUCUGUCCAUGUCUGAGAAGCUACUACACACUGCUCUAUCUGUAGAAGACUGGGAUAUUAAGAGGAUAUUCUCAAGUAAUUCUUUCUGUUCUCUUUAUCAGUUUUCAGUACCUUGCUCCAACCUUAUUUAUUUAUGGAUAAACUACCCUUCUUCUUC